ACGAACGCUGGCGGCAUGCCUAACACAUGCAAGUCGCACUAAGGCUUCGGCCUUAGUGGCGCACGGGUGCGUAACGCGUGGGAAUCUGCCCUUUGGUUCGGAAUAACAGCUGGAAACGGCUGCUAAUACCGGAUGAUGACGAAAGUCCAAAGAUUUAUCGCCAGAGGAUGAGCCCGCGUUGGAUUAGGUAGUUGGUGGGGUAAAGGCCUACCAAGCCGACGAUCCAUAGCUGGUCUGAGAGGAUGAUCAGCCACACUGGGACUGAGACACGGCCCAGACUCCUACGGGAGGCAGCAGUGGGGAAUAUUGGACAAUGGGCGCAAGCCUGAUCCAGCAAUGCCGCGUGAGUGAUGAAGGCCCUAGGGUUGUAAAGCUCUUUUACCCGGGAAGAUAAUGACUGUACCGGGAGAAUAAGCCCCGGCUAACUCCGUG
rnacentral:rRNA from 1 species